GGCGGUGUAGCUCAGCUGGUUAGAGCGCACGACUCAUAAUCGUGAGGUCCCCGGAUCGAGUCCGGGCACCGCUACCA
rnacentral:tRNA from 3 species